UACUGGGCGGAGGCUGGCUGGAGGUGACUGUUUAACAGUCUAAUGGCUUGGAGAUAGAAGCUGUUUCUCAAUCUCUCGGUCCCAGCUUUGACGCACCUGUUCUCUAAUAAUAGAGAGAGAGAGACUGAUUUCAAGGAUUUGAAAGGGAUGCAUGCGUAGCAGAUGGAGUGUUUUUGUCGCAGUGAGGCGAGGCGAGGCGAGGCGAAGAGAGCGAGGCCACUGUGAUUGCCUCUUGGACAGCGGUGUCAGCCGAGGAUAAUGCCGCUGCCGCCCUCCCAGGAACAGAACAGGAUCAACACAAUCCAAUUUCUUUUUCUUCAACCAAAAUGGAAUAAUUUUACAGAGAAAACCCUGGUUGUCUGGGCUGGAGGUCGGUAUGUUACCACAGAGAGAGAGAGAGAGAGAAAAGGAAAUAUAUAUAUAUAUAUAUAUAUAUAUAUAUACCAGAGUUAAAAAACAACUAUUAUGACAAAAAUUGGGGAAAAGAUAUGGGUCAUCAGCUUCACCCCGACGCCCAACAAAAUACCACCAACUACCACUUAUCACAAACAGAAGGAAUCUUUAAGCAUCAAUCAUUUGACUCCUCGGCUGGCUGUGGCCUGGCAUCUAUAGCCUCAGGAAAAUAAACCAUAGUCAAAAAACAACCAUUAUGGCAAGCAUUGGGAGAGCCAAUUGCCGUUCAAAUUCACCCUUAUGCCCCGCCAAACUAGCAACCACCAGAAACAACACUGGUGUAAUCUAAACAGAAAUGUUUGGCUACAGAGAUGUGUUCAACUUCAGCACCCCACCAAACUACCACAAACACACAGGAGGACUUCAAAUAUAUGUUGCUGCCACAGGCUCUGAGGGUUCAAUGGAAUGGGGAUAAAGGCUAGCAAUCUCCCAAAACAGACAGUCAGUGCACUUCAAAACAACAGAUGAAAGAUGAGGCUGAAAGAUUAGAGAUUGAGAGUGUGGGGGGGGGGGGGACUCCAUAAGAACAGCCAGUGGUGGGAGUAGUGUAGCUAGUAGUGGGUAACCUGAUCUGUAGAAUCACAAUGACCCUUCAGCAAAGUGUACUGCCUGCCCACCUGAGUGAGGGUGACUGGCCGGCUGGCUGUCCUUACCUUUCCAAAGGGUUGAGAGCAUCUUGUAGGAAAAAGGGGGGCUAAGAAUGAUUGGAGAGCUGUGACAUCUUGUGACUCCAUAUUCUUGCAUCACGGCCAGGUAGAGGACUCUCCUGGCUGUGACCUGCUUUUCCACUCUCUUCCCCUCUCUUACCACAGAUAUGUGCUGUACCAUGAGCAAUUCAGUCAAUGUCCAGCACGUGCAGAUGUUCUGGAAAGUGUGACUUCAAGUAUUACAGUGUGAAGAAUGAAUUGUAAAUGUAGAUGACCACCACGGCCCAGGGCCUAUGUAUAGUGCAGUAUAUAGUAGAAUGAACAGAGACAGGUGACAGAGAGGAUUACGGAGGGGAGUGAAUGAGGUGAGGGGAACGGUUGCUGUCAAACGGGGGGUUGGGAGGUUGGGUGAUGGAGGUUGGGAGGGGGGUUAAAAACACUCCAGGCCACUCUGGAACAUCUAAAACGAGAUAGAAAGUAUGUAGAAAUUAUAAUGGGCCUAUACGUUUUCAAAUAACUGCCCUUUUUCUUGACCUGCAGAUUGCUUUUAAUUAACAAAUUGACCUGGAAAAAAUCUGGACGGCCCUCCGCUGAAUUUUGAAUUCCCAAUGUGGCCCUCGAGCCAAAAUGAUUGCCCACCCCUGCACUAGGCUGUGUCUGGUACAAUGAAUUGGGGAGGGGGUUGGUCGGGGCUAAGUCUCUCAUCAGCAUCCAGCUCAGGUGCUGGGCCCAUGCACUAACUAUGCCCUGACUUGAUUGUAAUUGCCUGAAUUCGGUUCCCGCUGAUCCAUCCUGGCAAUAUCACAGGCACAUGUUGACUGGGGGCUGCAGCAGCAGGCAGAGAGGACCACAAGGAGCAGCUGGAUGGCUGGCUGGCUCUCUCUGGCUCUCUCUCUCUCCACCCCCCCCCCCCCCCCACCACCCCAGUGGGUCAGGUCAGAGGUGUAAGCUCCUCUCAGUAUGUGUGAUUUAAAACAAAAGAUGUACAACAAACUGUACACACAUUCACAUACAAAGUGAUGAUGCUGUGUGUAUAGGUAUUUGGGUACAGCAUCUAUAGCAGCAUCAGAUGUAUUUAAUACAGAUCAUCUGAAUGGCAAGCAUUGCCAUGCUAUCUGUUUAGAAGUUUAGUUUGUUCAAUUCAAUCUUCAAUGCUCUCGAAGACUAUUAGAUUGUGAGGCAGUUGAGAGGCGUGAACACAUUUACAGCAGCAAUAAACAUCAUGGGAGGUUAUGUCCUUGCUCUGACAAUGGCUUUGGGAAUGAAAAUGGGUCAAUGUCCAUAAAGAGACAUUCCUAUUAAACUCUCUAGGCAGCCUUAACGCUGUGCAAUGAACUGUUGGAGCAUCAAUUAUGGUUUUUAACACGUUUUGGAAACUGAAAUAUAAUAAAGUAAUCAUUUUUGCACACUG